rnacentral:rRNA from 1 species
AUUGAACGCUGGCGGCAGGCCUAACACAUGCAAGUCGAACGGUAACAGGAAGAAGCUUGCUUCUUUGCUGACGAGUGGCGGACGGGUGAGUAAUGUCUGGGAAACUGCCUGAUGGAGGGGGAUAACUACUGGAAACGGUAGCUAAUACCGCAUAACGUCUCAAGCCCAAAGAGGGGGACCUUCUGGCCUCUUGCCAUCGGAUGUGCCCAGAUGGGAUUAGCUAGUAGGUGGGGUAACGGCUCCCCUAGGCGACGAUCCCUAGAUGGUCUGAGAGGAUGACAAGCCACACUGGAACUGAGACGCGGUCCAGGCUCCUACGAGAGGCAGCAGUGGGGAAUAUUGGACAAUGGGAGCAAGCAUGAUGCAACCAUGCCGCGUGUAUGAAGAAGGCCUUCGGGUUGUAAAGUACUUUCAGCGGGGAGGAAGGGAGUAAAGUUAAUACCUUUGCUAAGUGACGUUACCCGCAGAAGAAGCACCGGCUAACUCCGUG